GCACCAGGUGCAGUGGCUCAGCUACUCGGGAGGCUGAGGUGGGAGGAUCACUUGAGCCCAGGAGUUCUGGGCUGUAGUGUGCUAUGCUGAUCGGGUGUCCGCACUAAGUUCGGCAUCAAUAUGGUGACCUCCUGGGAGUGGGGGACCACCCGGUUGCCUAAGGAGGGGUGAACCAGCCCAGGUCAGAAAUGGAGCAGGUCAAAACUCCUGUGCUGAUCAAUAGUAGGAUCGUGCCUGUGAAUAGCCACUGCACUCCAGCCUGGGCAACAUAGUGAGACCCCGUCUCU
rnacentral:SRP_RNA from 1 species